AGCAGCCGCCGCGGUAAGACAGAGGAUGCAAGCGUUAUCCGGAAUGAUUGGGCGUGAAGCGUCUGUAGGUGGCUUUUCAAGUCCGCCGUCAAAUCCCAGGGCUCAACCCUGGACAGGCGGUGGAAACUACCAAGCUGGAGUACGGUAGGGCAGAGGGAAUUUCCGGUGGAGCGGUGAAAUGCGUUGAGAUCGGAAAGAACACCUACGGCGAAAGCACUCUGCUGGGCCGACACUGACACUGAGAGACGAAAGCUAGGGGAGCAAAUGGGAUUAGAUACCCCUGUAGUCCCUGUCUCUUAUACA
rnacentral:rRNA from 1 species